rnacentral:rRNA from 1 species
UUUGGGAAGUCCUCUUGUUGCAUUCCC